rnacentral:rRNA from 1 species
UACGGAGGGUGCGAGCGUUGUCCGGAAUCACUGGGCGUAAAGGGCGCGUAGGCGGCGCGGGCAGUCAACGGUGAAAGCUCGGGGCCCAACUCCGAGUCGGCCGUCGAUACUCCCGCGCUCGAGCACUGUAGAGGCAGGUGGAAUUCCGGGUGUAGCGGUGGAAUGCGUAGAGAUCCGGAAGAACACCGGUGGCGAAGGCGGCCUGCUGGGCAGUAGCUGACGCUGAGGCGCGACAGCGUGGGGAGCAAACAGG